rnacentral:rRNA from 1 species
GCGAACUACGUGCCAGCAGCCGGGGUAAUACGUAGUGGGCAAGGGUUAUCCGGGGUUAUUGGGCGUAAAGCGAGCGCAGGCUGUUUUUUAAGUCUGAGGUGAAAGCCCUCGGCUUAACCGAGGAAGCGCAUCGGAAACUGGGAAACUUGAGUGCAGAAGAGGACAGUGGAACUCCAUGUGUAGCGGUGAAAUGCGUAGAUAUAUGGAAGAACACCAGUGGCGAAGGCGGCUGUCUGGUCUGUAACUGACGCUGAGGCUCGAAAGCAUGGGUAGCGAACAGGAUUAGAUACCCUUGUAGUC